GAUUAAAUCGGUGCUCUAGCGGGUGGAGCAGACCCUGGGCUAGCAGGCCUCAGGGAGAACUCCAAUGGUGUCUGUGUCAGCAUGCCCACACCAGGCCACAACAAUGGCCGCCGCCAAUGUCCCAGUCCCCGGAGAGGUCUCACCCCUCACCGAGAUGCACUCAGGGCCUAUUAGGUGCAUUCACUCUCACAUCCAUGUCUCAUCACAAGAUUGCCCCUUCUGCAUUGAUAGUUCAUCUUUAUCAAAGCUCAUUCAGAGGAGCCAGUUGUCGUCACAGUGGAAGAGUUGGAAGCUUCAGUGGUAGUGUCAAUGGCUGCAUGGUCCAUGUGAAGGUGUUCCUUUCAAGGAGGAUCAUCAUGCAAAUUACCUUACCAAAAAGAAUUAAAGCUUGACCAUAUCAUCAGUAGAGAAAUUCAAGGAAUGCAACAUAUCCCACACCCAAGUUCUUGCAACUCAUGAAAGAAGAUGAUGUUAUUUUGAUGAGUAAUGUGAAUAAAUGAAUAAAAAGACAGUCAGAAACAGGGCUCCAUAAAAGGUUUUAAAAGAUAUGACUAAAGAUGAAGCUUUAAAUAUAGAAGAGAUACAGGGACAGGAAGAAGAAGUAAAGGUUUGUUGCCUUAAAACUCGCAUGCUGGUUCUUCUACCUUCCUAUGCAAAUUCUCUUCUCCAACAAGAUUGGCUCUCCAUGUUGGCUGAUGCAAUUCUUCUCACAGGUUUCCAAGUUACUCUCUUUUUUCAAGGGACCAAUCCAACCCCUUUUCUCUCGGAAGGCUUGCCUAACUCUAUCCCUCUUCUUUCCUCUGGACUCCUGUAUUACAUUACAGAGGGGGGACAAAUCAAAGGAUUCAAGGGAGCCGUAGGGAAGGUGAAAGGUGGUGAGAGAAUGGAGGAGUGGAAGCAAUGGAAAGGGAGAGGUCUUAGAGGAGCCAGUUUGGGGAGAUAGUAAGUUUCCCAAAGAGGCCAUUAGAGUUCCAAAUUAUCCUCAGCAAAAAUAUGCUAACAAGGAGAAGGACAGAGUUGGCAGAGCAUAUAGUCUGCAGGAGUUUGAGAAGGGGAGUUUUAGUUGACUGUGAAGUUCCCAUGGAAGAAGCAGGUUCAGAUAGAGAGAAUAGAGGCCUCACAAGGAGCUAAGAAGCCAGUUGGUUGUAUAACAGUGGAUUUUCUUGGGACAUUUCUUAUUAUAUAUCGACAUUAUAAUUUCUAAGACUAACAUAACUUUUAAAAAGUUAAAUCUUUCAUUUUGAAAUAACUGUAGGUUCACAUGCAGCUGUAAGAAGUAAUACAGAGGGAUCGCACAUGCUCUUUACCCAGUUUCCUGCAGUAGUAACAUCUUACAAAUCUAUAGUGCAAUAUCACAACCGGGAGAUUGGCACUGAUACAAUGAAGAUACAGAGCAUUCCUAUAACCACAAGGAUCCCUCUCGUUGUCCUUUUAUAGUCAUCCCCACUUCCCUGCCGCUCCCACUCCCCCCUUAACCCCUGACAACAUCUAAUCUGUUCUCCAUUUUUAUAAUUUUGUCAUUUUAAGAAUUACAUAGAACCAUACAGUAUGUAACCUUUUGGGUUGGUUUUUUUUCACUCAAGAUAAUUCUCCGGAGAUUCAUCCGGGUUGUUGUGUGUAUCAUUUGUUCAUUCCUUUUUAUUGCUGAGUAGUAUUCCAUGGUAUGGAUAUACCACAGUUUGUUUAACUAUUUACCUGUUGAAGGAUAUCUGGGUUGUCUCUAGCUUUUGACUAUUACAAAUAAAGCUGCUAUA